UGUUGAUUCACUUGGAGGAAAAAGCUGGGACAGAAGCUGCCCGACACGUGUGAACAACCAGCAUUUCUGGUCCAUGGCCGCAGGCGCUGUUUCCAUCAGCCUUCCCGCGGGGUGGCAUUGUCCGUGUUGUCAGCGCGGUUGCACGUGGCCCGACCCGCGAGGGCUCGUGCAGCGGAUUUGAGGCUGGCUGAGGACAAAAACCAAGAAGACAUUAUUAUGUGCAGUUGAUUAGGCCGGAGAUUUCACUCGGAGAAGCCCCGACUGCACUUCGGGGAAGAGCUAGCGUGUGAUGGGCACCUCGGCUUGAGGACGGCUGGUGUGGGCAGCAUCUUUCGUCUCUUCCAGCCUGGCACCCAGAGGAAGUUUAUAUCAAAAUGUGAUCUGGGAAGUAAUGUUUGAAGCUGCUACAGGCAAACUGCAACCUUUAAAGAAAGCCAAGAGACUCUGCGAGAAGCCAACUAUUGAGCUCCGGAAUUAACCCAUCUUGGAGUCUCAUGUCUUGAUGUGUCCCUGCCAUUGAAAGCCCUUCCGUUACUUGAUUCCAAAAACAUCCCAUUGAUACAUUUUGCAGUAUUAAUUGAGAAGAAAAACAAAGGUCACUCUUCAUUCUUGUCCAAUUUGUUCUUGGAAAGAUAUGAGAGGGUCCCCUUGCCAUUCAGCAUCUGGUUGGAUUCCCCCAGUGCAGAGAUCUGAAGAAGGGAGGAGAGUGAGGUCUAAGUAUUUGCUCCAUCCAUUGGCUCCUUCCAUGAAAAAUGAUCUAGUGUUGGCUGCUUCCCUGAACUGAGGGUCAUUUGUGCUCUAAGGCUGGCCAACUCAAUUUGUCAUUUAAGGUCAACUCAACUGCCUCUUCUCAUCUCAGUCAGGUCUUUUUAGUGGGUGUGUUAAUAAAGAAGCACAUAUGUCACAUAUGACAAUUUUGUUUUCUAAGUGCUUGGGUCAUCAUAUUUUGAUAUAAUUUAUUAUUUUAUAAUCCUAUGUAUUUCAAAUUAUGCAUUUAGACAUACAAGUCUAUGGGCUUCAACAAAUUUCCAAAAGGGUUCAUGGCACAUGAACUGUUAGGAACCUCUCUUCAUUCAGAGAUAUUCAUUCAAGAAAGUGUAGCAAUGAUUGGGUCUCAGCAAUAUACCGUUCCAGAAAAAAAGAAAACCCUCAGGUAGUAGAAGGCCUGGAUAAUUUCUGUAUAUGGAGUUUUGGACUAAAUUCUUAGAGAUUAAUGUGUUGACUCUAUUUAAAUCAUCUUAAAUAUUUGAUUUUAUUCUAUCUGAUAUUUCUUCUAAUCCUUUGUGUUUCAUAAAUGAAUUUCCUAUUUAGUGUUUGACUUUCAGUGUUAAGAGCAACACUUGUCAUUGUUGGCCUCAUUUAAUUUUCAUUAUGUAAACCUCUAAGAAGUAACUCACAACUAGGUGUCACAUAACUCGCUUCUGAAACAUCCAAUGAGAAACUGCCAAGUUCUUCAUAGUUGUUUAUUUUGGUCCCAAUACACUGUCCAUGCCCUGGUUGAAUAUCUUGCCAAAUUUCCUCCAAUUUAUUGCAAAACCAAUUGGCAGAGCAUUGAGGAAACCUGUUUGGGGCCAAUUUUAGGCAAUUGAUAGUGCCGCCUCUUUCCCCCACCCCCACUUUCCACUAAUCUCUCAAGUUUCUUCCAGAUCUAGCCAUUCUUCAUAGGAAUAUAACAUCUUGGCAUGACUCCAAAUAUUAAAGAAACACAUUCUUUUUAUCCUUACCCGAUUUCUCCCCUCCUCUCUGCUUCCUGUCUUUUCCUCAAUAAUGACACCCCCCACCCCAAAAUUAACAUCUCUCAGCAGGGAGAAUGGUUGACCUGGCAUUGCAACAUCCAGAAUAAAUCUUAUUUUGAAAAUGGGUGAUUGUGCUCUUAUCAAUAAAGGAAAUUGGAGAUUUCAA